rnacentral:rRNA from 1 species
UGGGGAAUAUUGCACAAUGGGCGCAAGCCUGAUGCAGCCAUGCCGCGUGUAUGAAGAAGGCCUUCGGGUUGUAAAGUACUUUCAGCGGGGAGGAAGGCGAUAAGGUUAAUAACCUUGUCGAUUGACGUUACCCGCAGAAGAAGCACCGGCUAACUCCGUGCCAGCAGCCGCGGUAAUACGGAGGGUGCAAGCGUUAAUCGGAAUUACUGGGCGUAAAGCGCACGCAGGCGGUCUGUCAAGUCGGAUGUGAAAUCCCCGGGCUCAACCUGGGAACUGCAUUCGAAACUGGCAGGCUAGAGUCUUGUAGAGGGGGGUAGAAUUCCAGGUGUAGCGGUGAAAUGCGUAGAGAUCUGGAGGAAUACCGGUGGCGAAGGCGGCCCCCUGGACAAAGACUGACGCUCAGGUGCGAAAGCGUGGGGAGUAAACA